UACGUAGGGACCAAGCGUUGUUCGGAUUUACUGGGCGUAAAGGGCGCGUAGGCGGCAAUUCAAGUCAUCUGUGAAAUCUCUGGGCUUAACCCAGAACGGCCAGGUGAUACUGCUUUGCUAGAGUGCGGAGGGGGCAAUCGGAAUUCUUGGUGUAGCGGUGAAAUGCGUAGAUAUCAAGAGGAACACCUGAGGUGAAGACGGGUUGCUGGGCCGACACUGACGCUGACAGCGCGAAAGCCAGGGGAGCGAACAGG
rnacentral:rRNA from 1 species